rnacentral:lncRNA from 1 species
ACUGAACAAUCGGAGACCAAGUUCCCCUCAGAUCGACAAUCAACUGCCCAGAACACAUCCUUCCAAAGAUCCAGAGUGCUAAGAUUACAGGUAGAAGAGGCAUCUUUUGAAUUUCUGAAGAUUUCUCUUAAACCCGAGAGGCUGGAGUCGUAGCUCAGCAGAGAAGAGCAUCCACCGCUCUUGCAAAGGAUCCAGGUUUGGUUUGCAGCACCCACAUUGGGUGGCUCUUUCCAGGGGAUCUGAUACCUUCUCCUGGACUUGGAGGGCACCUGCAUGUAUAUGGUGCACAAAGAGACAAGGAGGCACACACGCAUGAAAUAAAAGGAAUCUUUAAAAGUUUGCAGGAGAGCUAUGGAUUGCUACAGAAGAUAUGCGGCUGUCAUUCUGGUCAUGCUGUCCAUGGUCCUGCAUAUUCUUCAUUCUCUUCCUGAUGGAGACCUUAUUAUUCAGGGUUGUCCAGAAUGUAAACUAAAGGAAAACAAAUACUUCUCCAAGCUGGGUGCCCCCAUCUAUCAGUGUAUGGGCUGUUGCUUCUCCAGGGCAUACCCGACUCCCGCAAGGUCCAAGAAGACAAUGUUGGUUCCAAAGAAUAUUACCUCGGAGGCCACGUGCUGUGUGGCCAAAUCAUUUACUAAGGCCACAGUGAUGGGAAACGCCAGAGUGGAGAACCACACGGACUGCCACUGUAGCACUUGUUACUACC